rnacentral:lncRNA from 1 species
UCAACUCGUUUUCCACUUGAUAAAGUAAUCCUCUAACUGUCACCUAAUGGAGCCUUUCCUUUCUUAAGCUUCGCGACCUCGUCUUUCGAAUCUACACGCGUAAUAAUGCUAACUUUAGUAUCCCUUUCAAUACUCAACAUUCACUUAGGACGUCUAAACUAACCUACCCCAUCGAUUCACGUAUCAUUUACUCGUAUAUAAACUUCAUACAAAUACACAUGACAUAAUCACAUAUAACUGUAACACGUAACACAUAAUCACAUUUGUCACAUAAUAUAUUAUAAGCAAGUAAGUUAAUAAAAUACAUAGGUGCGCCUCUAAAAAGUAUUAUUAUUAUUAUAUAUAAAAAUUCUGGCAGCACCUCCUUUGUUUUAUCAACUUCCAGUCGGACUCAAGCCGACACCAACAACCAAACACAACAUUAUAAUCAAAUAAAAAUUUCUAUUACAAAGAAUAUACAUAUAUAUAUAUAUAUAUAUAUAUAUAUGCAUCAUUUAAAACCAACCAACAACUUUAUUGUCUCAUUUUUCACCAUGUACUAAUACCAAAAUUAUAAAUUAAAAUUUUGUAACUCAAACCCAAAAUCUUUUUAUUCCAAUAAAUCCGAAAGUUUAUUUACUUAAAUUUUCAUACUAAACACUUCUCCAAACUCAUUCAUAUAGCCCCUCAAAUAUAUUAAAUACUGAUUUCAAUAUUCUAGCCAAUGACGGCUCGCCACGUCAUCAUCUUCUUCAUCACAUCAACCAGAAUUUCUCUCUCCUCGAAGUCAACUGCCAUGACCAAACUUUGACCGCCUAUAACUCAUUCAUUUUUAAUCCGAUUAACAUGAUUCAAGAGCCUAUUCCAGCUAAUUUUUCACAAGGAAUUCAAAUAUGUCAUUUAUUUUAGAAUCAGAGUUCAUAUAAGCCCUGAACGAACUGAUUUACAGUAGCAGCCACUCCACUUUAUUCUGGAAAAAAAAAUAUAAACACAUAAUAACAUAAUAUACUCAUCAUAUGAACACAAAACACUUAAUCAAAUACCAACAACACAUAACCAAACUGAUUAAACCCUUUUCGAAACAUCAACAAAACUUUUACAAAAUCCAACAUGUAACUCGGAUUACAUAUUUAGACGAGAUAAUAUGAAUACUUUUGGACUCAAAGUAGCAUCAUCGCUCCCGCCGGCUCACCGGAGCUCAUCACCGGCGGCGGCAAAACCCGGAGGUGCCCGAAUCGGGUCUCCAGUCACGGGUUCCACCAAUUAAUAAUCGUUUAAGCCAAAGCCCCAUGCUAAUUUCAUCAAAAACGAAGUAUAUUUUCAGAAAUCAAACCCGACCCGAAGUGGGUUCUUCAAAAAUCAGACCAUGCAUACAACUAUACACGCACACACGCACAUACCAGUGUUUAGGAGAAGGAGAAGAGUAAUAAUCGGACAUCAAUUCAACGAAUUAGCCGAAAAGUCAAGAAAGAGAAGAAGAGAGAUGAAGUACCGAGAGAGAAGAGAAAAGAAGAAUGGAGAAGAGUCGAGAGAUGGAGAGAAUUGGGGUGAGU